rnacentral:lncRNA from 1 species
AGAUUGAGAGAACUGAAGAGUCGGUAUUGGGAAAUGAAGAAUGAAAAUAUCUGAUGUCUCGAACCUUCCAACCUAACCUUUACAAAUAUACUUACAAAAUAACAACCGGACCGGGUCGGGUAUUGGGUCAAACAACCCGGGCUCAGAUAUGACCCAUUAGGCUCAUGAGUGUCAGUGGCCCAACACAUGAGCCCAGAACAUAUAUCAUCAUAGCCCAUCAUAUACACUCUAUAUACAUCAAAUAUACAGAAUCAAUAUACAAUUAUAAUAUCUCAAGUCUGGAACCUUCCAACCUAACCUUUACAAAUAUACUUACAAAAUAACAACCGGACCGGGUCGGGUAUUGGGUCAAACAACCCGGGCUCAGAUAUGACCCAUUAGGCUCAUGAGUGUCAGUGGCCCAACACAUGAGCCCAGAACAUAUAUC